rnacentral:lncRNA from 1 species
ACUUCUCUCUCAGCAAAGGGCUUAACCACAGAUUCAGAAGUGGGAUUGCUUCCGGUGUCAAAUAAAGACCUCUUGAGAGCCACAACAGAGGAGAAAAGUAUGAUGAUUCGAGUUUCAACCGAUUCAGCUUCUGUUGGACAGAUUUGAGACAGGUUUUUCUGAUAGGUAAUGGAUUUUGUUUCUUCUGUUGGUUGGUCUUCAAGCAGGUUUAUCAGUGCACGACAUGCUGAUACAAAACCACUAGCUCUAGCGAAUCCUUCAUAUUGAAGGAGGUCACCACUUUGUCAACCUGGUUUUUUAUCAAGAAGAAUAUCUGGAGACUUCAGAUUUUCAUGUACAGUAGUAGGAUGGUUUGUGUGCUAAUGGUUCAUUCCCUUGGCCACGUCAAGAACCAUUCUUAAUCUCCAUCUGUUUAAAAUAGCAGGCCUAAAGUUCUCAUCCUUUUGACUUGGAGGAACAAAAGCGCCAACUGAAUGAUUAUAUGCAGUGAUACCAACAGAUUGCCUAUGCCAAAGAACUGAGUAUAAAGGAGAUCACAACUCUCCACCAUUAAUCUCAUACUAAUCUUGAGUUUUAUGAAGCAAGGUAGGCCAAGAAUCAAACUCUGCAUUUUCUAUGAGUAUGUCAAGAGAAUAAUAGGUUCCAAUUGAUCGGAGAAAACGAAUUUGGAGCCAUUUUCUUAUAAUAUCAAGAUUCCGCAAAGCAGGAAUUGUAACCCUGAAAGAGCCUUAGCAAGAGGGGUGCUUGAAGGAAUAACCAGUAGCAUUUCUAUAACACCCAAGAUUUUAUAGAGAUCAAGACGUUCUUCUCAUUUAGCAUCUGCCUGCAAUUUGAUUUAUGAACAUAUUUCCAACUCCAAACUUUGGUCAUUGGUCAGUUAAUAACAGUCCUACUUGUUACAGUGCUGUUAGGAUGGCUAAAGUCUGCUAGGACAAACUAAUAGGUUGUCUAUACUCCUGAAUUUUAAGUCUGGAUUCUAGUCUGGUCCUCUUUUUAUGCGCAUUGGAGGUGGCUGCUGAUAUGUGGACUGAGGGUGGUGUGCCGGAGCGAGGAGCCCGUGAAACUUCUACUUUAGAGUUCUGAAAACCUGUACUCUGGUCACCAUAUCAUCUGGUUGCAGUUGCUGAUGCAGGAAUUCCAGCGUCAGGUUGUGUUUUGCCCAGCUAUAUUUGGUUUAGCAGCAGAGCCACCAGUGGGUGAACUAUUGCCAAAAGAUUGAGGAUGCCAUUGGCCAUGCAGUACUGGUUAUGAUUGUUCUCCAAUUGAUAGGUAGCUAAAGUCAUUUUGAGACUCCGUAAUCAAAUACUGUGGGUGUAACAACUCUUGAACUUCUUGUGAAUUUUGAGACGCUGAUGAACACAUAUUCUGUGUUCCAGAUGAUAGAGAGUGCAAUUGAGCACCUCUAGAAUGGUCUUCAGAAGAGGUCUGCUGGAAUUGAUUCUUAUGGCUUCUGUUGAUGUUGACAGCUUAAAUCCCAAGUGAUUCAUACAAUUUCUCACUCCCACUACUGAUUUUUCUAUUUUCCGCACUCCUUGCAUAGAGCUUCUUAAUGUUCCCGAGCCUAUUCAGGAGUUAUUUCAAACGCAAACAGAAAUAGAGAAUCGGGACCUUCAAUUGAUACCUGUGUUCAGAAGCUGCAACUGGGCAUCCCAAAAUCAUCUAGACAUAGGUCACAACCCUCACUAGGCACCUUGGCAAUUUAUUGGCAUGUCUUAAAGCUCCUUAUUGACAUUUAAAACAUAAACAGAAACAGCUUUUCCUACUCCACAGCACUUCUGGAAUUCUUGAAGUCUAUUAGGUUCACAUGAAGGGACUAAACGAUGUCGGCUUAUCAUUAAAUUCAUCGUCAGCCUCAUUUUCUAAUAAUCCGGUCAGUCUUGGUACCUCUUUGAGAACCUCGAUUGCCAUGUCUUCAAUUAUCAUUGCAUCCAAGUCAUCACAACCUAGUUGGAAAGCCACACAGAAUUCCCUGUCAUGGGAAUUAGUAUAUUCAGGACAGACAUCAAGCAAGAGCUCGACAUAGUCAUCCAAAGGCAGACCAAGCUUUUUCUCCUCUUCCUUCUCAAGCAGAUCUCAAUGUUCGCAUUCCAAUUGUAUUCCAUAUCAGACUCAACAGUCAACGACCUUCUUCUGAGCUCUGAUUUCAGCACUUUCACCCCAAUCACAUCUUCACAUUAACAUUCGAGUAUCGCAACCUUUACAGCAGCAGGUUGUUUGCAAUGGUCGUUGUCAAAUAUCUUUAGGCAAUUAAAAUUAAAACCAGAUUUUAAACCUGAACCAUGAACCAGUAGGUACUCUACCAUGAAGCUUAGUCACGUAACCGAAUCCAACAAACUUCAAUUAAGACAUCUCAAACGAAUUAAAAAGACAUAAACAAAGGAAGAGUCGAAUAUGGGAUCCCAUCCAAAUUAAAGUUCAAUGACAUGAGCUACUAACUGCAGAUUGGGGGAAAGACUUAGGCAGGUACCUUUAUACAGUUAUCAAAAGCUCCUUAUGCCAAUUCUCACGAAGUUUGUUAACACAGCUUAGGUGAUUAUCAUCAAUUCCAAUUGAACCUGAACCAGGCAACUUCGAAAGUUUGACUAACGAAGCUUUCCUUCCCUUAUCUGUUAUGGAAGGAUCAGAAGCACUCUUUGCUUUUCGGCGACAUUUUCAUACUCCCUUAUAAGGCUCUGAGCUUCAGGUGAAUUCAGAAAUGAAGCAUUCUGUAGCUUCCAUGUAGCAUGCUCAUAACCAAGACCAUGCCAUUUUGCAAGCCAUUCAUAGAGGCAAUCCGGGAUGUCACCAGCCUGCCCAGUAUAAUAGCCAUCACGCUGCUUUGUGGGCAUUAACAGUCUCUUUAGUAGCAAAUGAUGUGGCACAGUCCAUUCUAGCUUAUACCUUAUGACCUGAUUCUUUCGAUUGAAUUUUGCCGCAAAAGAUGGAGCCUCAAGNNNNNNNNNNNNNNNNNNNNNNNNNNNNNNNNNNNNNNNNNNNNNNNNNNNNNNNNNNNNNNNNNNNNNNNNNNNNNNNNNNNNNNNNNNNNNNNNNNNNAUUCCAUUGGUUUGGAUUCAUGAAGUUUAUUCAUGCUUUGUUGAAAAUCAAGGAAAUCACGAAAAUAGUUAAAAAAUCAAAGGAGAUAGUGCAUGCCCAAAGGAAAGUGGCAGCAAAUAGCAUGUUAAAAUUUGGAUUUUAUACCUAGAAGCUCCUAAGGAAUUUUGAAGAAAACCAAAGUUAUUUUGAUGGAAAAAGAUUUUGAAAUUCAUAUUUAAGAUGUAUAAAAUCACAAAAUAAAGGAAAAGAAACAUUAGGAGUAUGAUAUGUGGCGAGGUGGCAAUUAUGUGGGUGGAGCCUGGAGGUGUGAUUGAGGCUGUGACACUGGCAUUGAAUCCCAAAAACGCAUUCUGCCCUAUUCUGGCAUUUUCCGAGGCUGAUCAAAAUUCGUAUACAGAUUGUUUUGUUGUAGCAUGUUUAAGAUACUUUCAGCAAGCUUCUUUAUGCACUCUGAGCUUUCUGAACACAACUGCAGCAGGGAACAUCUCCAAGACUUGUCAGAUGACAGAUUAUUAGUUCAGCUGUACACCAUGUUCGGGAUUGCCUGUAAGCAAGGAUGCCUAUCCGUAGGCAAUUGGGUGACUCAAGAUUUUCACCAAUAAAUAUAACUGGAAGUGGGGCAGCUUCUGGUCCUGAGAAACAUCUCCAAGAGGAGUUCAGAUUCUUAUGAUCCCUUCCUCCUCUCACAAGCUGUUAAAUAAGUGCCCCCAGUUUUCUGUAAAUCUGUAGAUUUCAUCCUUCACAGCAGCUCAGGAGUUAAUAUUUCCAGCUGAAACACUAACUUUCAAGGUGUGCAAUCAAACCAAAAGAAGUCACUUCUCUCUCAGCAAAGGGCUUAACCACAGAUUCAGAAGUGGGAUUGCUUCCGGUGUCAAAUAAAGACCUCUUGAGAGCCACAACAGAGGAGAAAAGUAUGAUGAUUCGAGUUUCAACCGAUUCAGCUUCUGUUGGACAAAUUUGAGACAUGUUUUUUUGAUAGGUAAUGGAUUUUGUUUCUUCUGUUGGUUGGUCUUCAAGCAGGUUUAUCAGUGCACGACAUGCUGAUACAAAACCACUAGCUCUAGCGAAUCCUUCAUAUUGAAGGAGGUCACCACUUU